rnacentral:hammerhead_ribozyme from 1 species
AUCUAGUCGACGAGUUCAAAAUAGGACGAAACACGCGUCUUGGAU